rnacentral:rRNA from 1 species
UACGAAGGGGGCUAGCGUUGCUCGGAAUCACUGGGCGUAAAGGGUGCGUAGGCGGGUCUUUAAGUCAGGGGUGAAAUCCUGGAGCUCAACUCCAGAACUGCCUUUGAUACUGAAGAUCUUGAGUCCGGGAGAGGUGAGUGGAACUGCGAGUGUAGAGGUGAAAUUCGUAGAUAUUCGCAAGAACACCAGUGGCGAAGGCGGCGACCUGGGCCAAUACUGACGCUGAGGUGCGAAAGCGUGGGGAGCAAACAGG